rnacentral:rRNA from 1 species
UGGGGAAUAUUGCACAAUGGGCGCAAGCCUGAUGCAGCCAUGCCGCGUGUGUGAAGAAGGCCUUCGGGUUGUAAAGCACUUUCAGCGAGGAGGAAGGUGGUGAGCUUAAUACGCUCAUCAAUUGACGUUACUCGCAGAAGAAGCACCGGCUAACUCCGUGCCAGCAGCCGCGGUAAUACGGAGGGUGCAAGCGUUAAUCGGAAUUACUGGGCGUAAAGCGCACGCAGGCGGUUUGUUAAGUCAGAUGUGAAAUCCCCGGGCUCAACCUGGGAACUGCAUUUGAAACUGGCAAGCUAGAGUCUCGUAGAGGGGGGUAGAAUUCCAGGUGUAGCGGUGAAAUGCGUAGAGAUCUGGAGGAAUACCGGUGGCGAAGGCGGCCCCCCUGGACGAAGACUGACGCUCAGGUGCGAAAAGCGUGGGGGCAGCAAAACAGGAUUAGAUACCCUGGUAGUCCACGCUGUAAAACGAUGUCGAUUUUGGAGGUUGUGCCCCUUGAGGCGUGGCUUCCGGAGCUAACGCGUUAAAUCGACCGCCUGGGGAGUACGGCCGCAAGGUUAAAACUUAAAUGAAUUG